CUAUUAGUAGUAUAACAAGUAGUACUAAUAGUACUACAAGUACUAUUAAUAUUACUAGUAGUAUUACUAGUACCACUAGUACUAAUAGU
rnacentral:tRNA from 1 species